UAGGGAAUCUUCGGCAAUGGGGGCAACCCUGACCGAGCAACGCCGCGUGAGUGAAGAAGGUUUUCGGAUCGUAAAGCUCUGUUGUAAGAGAAGAACGUGUGUGAGAGUGGAAAGUUCACACAGUGACGGUAACUUACCAGAAAGGGACGGCUAACUACGUGCCAGCAGCCGCGGUAAUACGUAGGUCCCGAGCGUUGUCCGGAUUUAUUGGGCGUAAAGCGAGCGCAGGCGGUUUAAUAAGUCUGAAGUUAAAGGCAGUGGCUUAACCAUUGUUCGCUUUGGAAACUGUUAAACUUGAGUGCAGAAGGGGAGGGUGGAAUUCCAUGUGUAGAGGAGAAAUGCGUAGAUAUAUGGAGGAACACCGGUGGCGAAAGCGGCUCUCUGGUCUGUAACUGACGCUGAGGCUCGAAAGCGUGGGGAGCAAACAGG
rnacentral:rRNA from 1 species